rnacentral:rRNA from 1 species
UACGGAGGGGGGUUAGCGUUGUUCGGAAUUACUGGGCGUAAAGCGCACGUAGGCGGAUCAGAAAGUUGGGGGUGAAAUCCCAGGGCUCAACCCUGGAACGGCCCCCAAAACUCCUGGUCUUGAGUUCGAGAGAGGUGAGUGGAAUUCCGAGUGUAGAGGUGAAAUUCGUAGAUAUUCGGAGGAACACCAGUGGCGAAGGCGGCUCACUGGCUCGAUACUGACGCUGAGGUGCGAAAGUGUGGGGGAGCGAAACAGG